UCCUCUUCCCAGCGCUGGAAGCCCCCCCGUCUCUAAAUGGAAUUAGUGGAGAGCGAAGCCCCUUGUGUAAGGAACAGACAUGAUCCAUGGGCGCAGCUUGUUUCACAUUGUAGCAAGUUUUAUCAUCCUACAUUGGGCUGGGGCAACAAAAAAAGGAGCAGAAAAGCAAGCCACUUCGGAAGGACAAAAGACAGUGCAGUGUGGAAUGUGGACAAAAUACCAAGAAGGAGGCAUCUUCACUUCUCCCAAUUAUCCCAACAAGUAUCCUCCUGACAGAGAGUGUGUCUACAUCAUAGAAGCUGCCCCGAGACAAUGUAUUGAGUUACAUUUUGAUGAAAAAUAUUCGAUAGAACCUUCUUGGGAGUGUAAAUUCGAUCACAUUGAAGUGCGGGAUGGACCCUUUGGCUUUUCCCCAAUCAUUGGUCGUUUCUGUGGAGAGCAAAAUCCACCGAAAAUAAAAUCCAGUGGCAGAUUCCUGUGGAUUAAAUUUUUUGCUGAUGGUGAACUGGAAUCUCUGGGAUUUUCUGCACGUUACAAUUUCACGCCUGAUCCCGACUUCAAGGACCUCGGUGUUUUGAAACCAUUGCCAGUUUGUGAAUUUGAGAUGGGAGGAUCUGAAGGGAUUGUGGAGUCGGUGCAGAUUGGAAAGGAAGGGAAAGCUUCUGAAACGGAGGCGGUAGACUGUAAAUGGUACAUCCGAGCCCCACCAAGAUCCAAGAUAUAUUUACGGUUCUUGGACUAUGAAAUGCAGAAUUCUAAUGAAUGCAAAAGGAAUUUUGUGGCUGUCUAUGAUGGAAGUAGCUCAGUGGAGGAUUUGAAAGCUAAGUUUUGCAGCACAGUUGCUAACGAUGUGAUGCUGCGCACAGGUCUUGGAGUCAUCCGCAUGUGGGCAGAUGAAGGCAGUCGAAGCAGCCGAUUCCAGAUGCUCUUCACAUCUUUCCAAGAACCCCCCUGUGAAGCCAACACAUUCUUUUGCCAUAGUAAUAUGUGUAUUAAUAAUACAUUGGUCUGCAAUGGACUCCAGAACUGUGUGUAUCCAUGGGAUGAAAACCACUGCAAAGAAAAGAGAAAAGCCAACAUCUUGGACCAGCUUACCAACACCAGUGGAACUGUAAUUGGGGUCACUUCUUGUAUUGUGGUCCUCCUUAUCAUUAUCUCAGUCAUAGUCCAGAUCAAACAGCCUCGUAAAAAAUUUGUCCAGCGGAAAGCAGACUUUGAUCAAACAGUCUUUCAGGAGGUGUUUGAGCCUCCCCACUACGAGUUAUGCACUCUGAGAGGGUCGGGGGCUACAGCGGACCUUGCCGACGUUGCGGAUGACUUUGAAAACUAUCAUAAACUGCGGAGAUCAUCUUCCAAAUGCAUUCAUGACCACCACUGUGGAUCACAGUUAUCUAGCACUAAGGGCAGCCGUAGUAACCUCAGCACAAGAGAUACGCCUAUCUUGACAGACAUUCAACCCCAGCCUGUAAAGCCCCUCAUCCAGCCCAUGAACAGGAGAAAUAUUCUUGUCAUGAAGCAUAGCUACUCACAAGAUGCUGCAGAUGCGUGCGAGAUAGAUGAAAUAGAAGAGGUACCAACCACGAGUCACAGGCUUUCCAGACAUGAUAAAGCUGUCCAGCGCCAUAACAUUCCAGGUUCUGCCUCAUUGGGUCUCUAAGCAAACACGAAACAGAGUACAACACAACUAGGGUGUAACAGACACACGGAAGACUGCUUGAGAAUAGUGCGCUCCUGGGUGAUUGUGAAUAUUCUACAGUGAAUUGUGAAAAUGUCGGCCUUGGAACUGCAAGCUAAAGGUGUUCUGGACUCUGACCAACUUUUCCAAUUUCAUGAAAAAAGGCAUCAAUCAGUAAUGAGUAAAAUCGGUGGAUGGCAAUAAGACUCUCACUACUAUCAUUGCUAUCAUUUAUUAUUAUCAUCAGUAUUUUUCUUUCUUUCUUUAUAUUUAUUAUUUGUCUUGUUUUGUUACAAUGGAAAGAUUACCCAGUUUCAGGAAUUAAAUGAUUAAAUCAGGUAUUUAACCAUUCAUAAUUUGGGUAGAGAUUUUUUGUUGGAUAUAAAUCAAAUCAUAGCAUUGAAUUUGACACUCAGAAACAGGUCUGCAUGUGUGUUGCUGAAUAUUUGAGUUGGCAAAAAAAAAAAAACACCCUUUGAUGAGAUACAUUGUAAAAAGCAUGCAUUCAUAACUUCUGCUGUUCCUCUUCAUUUCUUUGUGUCAUAUGCUUGCUAACUGUAACUUUUUUAUAUAAAGAAACAUAAAACAAUGUAUAAUAAUUUCUUA